AUUGAACGCUGGCGGCAGGCCUAACACAUGCAAGUCGAGCGGAGCGGCGGACGGGUGAGUAAUGCAUAGGAAUGUGCCUGGUAGUGGGGGAUAACGUCAGGAAACGGGCGCUAAUACCGCAUACUAUCAGAUGAGCCUAGGUCGGAUUAGCUAGUUGGUGGGGUAACGGCCUACCAAGGCGGCGACCCGUAACUGGUCUGAGAGGAUGAUCAGUCACAUGGGGACUGGGACACGGUCCAAACUCCUACGGGAGGCAGCAGUGGGGAAUCUUGGACAAUGGGCGAAAGCCUGAUACAGCCAUGCCGCGUGUGGGAAGAAGGUCUUCGGAUUGUAAAGCACUUUAAGUUGGGAGGCGUUACCAACAGAAUAAGCACCGGCUAACUUCGUGCCAGCAGCCGCGGUAAUAC
rnacentral:rRNA from 1 species